UACAUAUUCCAUCAUCUUGGAGGCCAUUACUGGAGGAUUCUUCAACACUUCGGAUAUUUUUUUGAUUACUAUUCAAUUACUAAACCUCCUCUUUUAAAGGAGGCUCUGGAAUGCUUGGUAAGAUUAGCAUCCGUUAGACGUUCUUUAUUUGUAAAUGAUGCUGCCCGGUCCAAGUUUUUGGUUCAUUUAAUGACAGGAACGAAAGAAAUUCUCCAAUCAGGACAAGGUCUUGCUGAUCAUGAUAAUUACCAUGAAUACUGUCGACUUCUUGGACGUUUUAGGGUGAAUUAUCAGUUGUCAGAGUUAGUGAAUGUGCAAGGCUACAGUGAUUGGAUACGUUUGGUGGCUGAAUUCACUUUGAAGUCUUUGCAGUCCUGGCAGAUUGAUUGAUAUUUGAAAUUUUAUGUAUUCAGGAAAAUAACUUAUGAUCUUAUAUGGCUUAAUGUGGGCUCCAACUGGCUGUAAAUUAUUUUUCUCUGACCUUGACCCAUUACAUGUGAACUAUUUGUUGGAGAACCUGGAACCAUUUAUUUAUUUUUCUCAAUACCUUCUGCAACAUGAUCUUAAUUGAGUUUAUGCUUUUGUACCUAUUGGGGCUAUGGUCCAGAUUGGUUUCGUCUGUUCCCUAUUUGAAGGACGAUGCUCCAAGUUUGUUGGAUGAAUUCGUUCCUAAGAUCACCGAGAGUUUUCUCACAUCAAGAUUCAACUCUGUGCAGGCCCAAUUUACAAUCAACCCGAACUGGCCCAGCAUACCUUAACCCAUCAGGCCUUGCAAAACAGCCCUCACCCAGAGCCCCAAUCACUCAAGCCCAAGUGGAGACCCAGCUCAGCAAACCCAGCAAUCUCCAAACUCGAACUGGCCCAGCAACCCCGGAUUCAACUCGAGACCCGAAUUGGCCCAAAAUAGCAACCCAAAUAAUUAGGGUUUCAAAACCCUAAAGCAGCAGCCGCCUUCCAUAUUCUAGCUUCCUCAAUCGGCGAGUGCACAUCACCGCUCCAUUCCCGAGUCGCGUGAGCCGGCCGCCGAAUGUUUCCUGCCCAACGUUAUCACCUACAGUGAUUGAAAGUACACCAUCAGUCCUUCCACAGUGAAAAACAGAGAAAAUGGCAUAAAAAAUCCAAGAAAUCCCAAUGUAAUCUGUUAUUGUCAAGCAGAAAUCUAGGGCAAUAAAACCCUAUAUUCUCGGGACCACAAAACCUCACAGAAACCACACAUGCAUCAAAGAUAAAAAAAAAGACGGAGAGAACCAUUCGGGUUUCCAGUGAAAAAGAAGAGAAAAAGAAACCGAACGAAAAAUCCAAUAAAAGAAAAAGAGAAAAGCCAGAAAUCUUACCCUUUCAUCUGAUCGGAGCCUCAUCGGAGUACAGAAAAUUUACCAUCGAAGGUAAAACCUUCUCGUUCUUAGGCUUGUGGGUUUUAGGAGAGUUUGUGUUUUGGGGUAUUAGUUGUUUUUUUAGAAAGGGAGAGUGAGGGGUGAGAUCAAGAGUGGUUUAAGGUUUUGAUUUUGAGGCUAUCGCCGUCGCCUGGCUAUUUCUGGGUUUCUUCUCGGCGGAGGAAGGAAGAGGCGAUGAGAGUUGAGAGAAUAUUUUCUCUCUCUCUCUCUCAUCGGGCUUAAGGAAACAUAACAAAUGGGAAGCUCAGCCGUUUAGGGUGUGAGUUUUAACAUAUAUCUGAAAUGUAAAACGACGUCGCAUAUAGGGAAGGGAUUCAGCGUGUUUUCGAGUUGGGUCUAAUAUCUGGUUUAGUCCUUGUUAUUUUGUAAUCUCUUACCCGUUUUUUUUCACAUUUUUGGAGUAAAUCACAGUUUAGGUCCUUCUAAUUCUGUAAUGGUUGUAAUCUGAUCAUUCUAAUGAAAUUUUAUAUUUUCA